UACAGAGGUGGCAAGCGUUGUUCGGAAUCACUGGGCAUAAAGGGCGCGUAGGCGGCGAGGCAAGUCGGGUGUGAAAUCCCUCAGCUCAACUGAGGAACUGCGCCCGAAACUACCUUGCUAGAGUGCAGGAGAGGAGAGUGGAACUCCUAGUGGAGCGGUGAAAUGCGUAGAUAUCUGGAGGAACACCGGUGGCGAAGGCGGCAUCCUGGACCGAGAUUGACGCUGAGGCGCGAAAGCCAGGGGAGCAAACGGG
rnacentral:rRNA from 1 species